GGGUGUGGUAGUUCAUUUGAUUUUUGGUCUAUUGCAAUAUGCCGAAUGCUGGUUGGUGUUGGUGAGGCUUCUUUCAUAAGUCUUGCGGCUCCAUUUAUAGAUGACAAUGCUCCUGUUGCUCAGAAAACAGCCUGGCUUGCUACAUUUUACAUGUGCAUACCAACUGGAGUUGCAUUGGGUUAUGUUUAUGGUGGAUUUGUUGGAAACCAUUUUAAUUGGCGG
rnacentral:misc_RNA from 1 species